GAUGAACGCUGGCGGCGUGCCUAAUACAUGCAAGUCGAGCGAACGGACGAGAAGCUUGCUUCUCUGAUGUUAGCGGCGGACGGGUGAGUAACACGUGGAUAACCUACCUAUAAGACUGGGAUAACUUCGGGAAACCGGAGCUAAUACCGGAUAAUAUUUUGAACCGCAUGGUUCAAAAGUGAAAGACGGUCUUGCUGUCACUUAUAGAUGGAUCCGCGCUGCAUUAGCUAGUUGGUAAGGUAACGGCUUACCAAGGCAACGAUGCAUAGCCGACCUGAGAGGGUGAUCGGCCACCCUGGAACUGAGCCAGCGUCCAGACUCCUACGGGAGGCAGCAGUAGGGAAUCUUCCGCAAUGGGCGAAAGCCUGACGGAGCAACGCCGCGUGAGUGAUGAAGGUCUUCGGAUCGUAAAACUCUGUUAUUAGGGAAGAACAUAUGUGUAAGUAACUGUGCACAUCUUGACGGUACCUAAUCAGAAAGCCACGGCUAACUACGUG
rnacentral:rRNA from 1 species